ensembl:lncRNA
CGGUCAUAGGUCUUCUUUGGAGCCUCUGGUAAUUUUGUUUUAGAAAGUGGUGAAGGAGAAACGAACCAAAAAGACUGAAGAUCUGAGGGCGAGAGAUACUAAAAAAGAAGGGUGAAGAAGCUCUAAAAAAAACCACAAUGUCUGUAUCAGGAACCAAGAAGAGUUCUUAAUGAUGAGACUGUUGUUGGCGUGCUAAAUGUUCUACCAAUCGGACUCUCCAUUGUGAAGAAUGUUGUCUGUGUGUAUUUCAGAUUCCUUGAGACCCAGGAAGGAUGUCUCACCACCAGCAUCCGCCUCCGCAGCCACAUCCGCAUCCACAGCCACAUCCGCAUCCGCAUCCACAGCCACAUCCGCAUCCUCAUCCGCAGCCACAUCCGCAGCCACAGCCGCAGCCGCAGCCGCUUCCACAGCCGAAGCCGCAGCCGCUUCCACAACCGCAUCCACAUCCACUUCCGCAGCCGCGGCCGCUUCCGCAGCCGAAGCCGCAGCCACAUCUGCAGCCGCAGCCGAAGCUGAAGCUGCAGCCGCAUCCACAUCAGCAUUAGCAUCAUCAUCAGUGCAAGGAGCGCUGUCAUCCACCUCCAGUAGCGUGCCCACCGAAGUGCCAUGAGCCUUGCCCACCUCAUCCAUGCCCACCUCCAGUGAGCCAGCAGAAAUGCCCUCCUGGACCACCAUGCCCACCAUGUGAGCACAAGUGUCCACCCAAGUGGAAGUACAGCACCAGAUUUCAUCUGGACCAAGAAACAAGAUCCAGCCUCUUCCAUUGUCCUCCCUUCGGCCAUGGUAAUGGACUGCAUCUUCCUUAACCUCCCCCCUCAACCGACAGCUGACAGAGGAAAGGCUUGCUUUCUGAAGCUGACACCGCAUUGUUGGAAGAAGAGCAGGAGAAUCAUCGCUUGAUCUCUCUGUGCUAUGUGCCCAUCUGUAAACCACAUUGUGAUCUCUACCCGGUGAGGAAUUAAUGUGUCUAUUCCUUUGCUUCUCCAAUAAAGUUUAUUCAUAGUCCAUUAUGUAUUUCUUUCUUUAGUUUUUUU